AUACAACUCCCCAUGUAGAGGCUGCAAAAAAGAGGAAACAGUCAAAAAAUAAAACAGUGUAAAGAAGCAAAAGAAUACAAUUGACAGUCAUAUGCUAUAAAAAGACUAUAAAAAUCCAAAUGGCAGACAGUAAUUCACUUUUUCACUUUUCACCAAUCUAGAUAUAAUAUAUGGAAAUGUUAGUAUAGCUGGGAAUAUUUGCUAUACGAAUUCAUCCAAGCCUUUUCAUAUUUAAAAACAUGAGCUGAAGAGACAUGCAUAGACAGUGAGCUAGUAAGCAGUCACACAUCUAGAAAAUUUUUUCAAUAGGAGCACUAUCAUUUUGACCUAAUGGUUCAAAAAUUCAUGAACUUUGCACACCUUUUCAAUUGUACCAUAUUAUUUUAAUAUUCAAUUUGACUCAAAGAGCACUGAUUUUGCUUCUAUUUCAUCCAAUGGAUAUAGGAUGUGAAACAUGACAUUGAGGUGGACUUCCAAUGUGAACAAAAAUUGCUAACUCAAAUGAUGGGAGCCCCCUCCCAAACGCUAGAAGCCACAAAAAGGUGUCAAUUUGCAAAAUAUGAAUCACAAAAAGCAUUUAAGUAGUUUCAUUGGUGGGAAGGGUGGGAGAGGAAUUUGCAGAACACAAUUGUUUGGUGGCUCUUAGGGAUCAAGGGGACCCACUUCUUUCAAGUAAGCAAGUUAUAUCAUGUUUGCCUUAGACCUCAACACUAUGCCAGAAUGGGCAUAUGCCCCAAACGGUUUUUAAUACAAUUAAAACUAAAUUAGUAACUUAUAAACUAAAUUAAUAAAAUUAUUACAAUAAUUCUCAGCAUGCCUUCAUAUUGUUUUUGUAUACUAUAUUUGUUUAUGAAUUUUACAACCAUUUAAUCACUUAUCUCUUAUAUAAUUUUGAAUAGAUCACUUAUAUUGAUUUCUUUUUAAUGGGGAGAGAGAGAGAGAGAGAG
rnacentral:misc_RNA from 1 species